rnacentral:piRNA from 1 species
GAAGUGUGCUUUCUCUACCGUUUAUUUCUA